UUUGCAGUUGAAGCUGAUGACCAGCAGCUGACUACAGCUCUGGAGGCUGAGGAGCAAGUGGGAUGACUCUCAGCUGUCCAAGGGAGAUCUACAAGCAACUUGCAAGUUUUCCUUCUAUCUCUGCAAACUGCAUCCCUGAAAAUUAAUUACAGAAAUACACAGCAACUGAAUGUCAAGAUGAUGUCUAUAUUACAUGUGCAUUAAGCGAAUGGGGAAAGUUUCUCUGUGGAUACCUUUUCUGCUUUUUAAUAAAUUCUUUCUUUUGCCUGAAGAGAAUUAGAAGCUGGCUUUUGACCUCCAUUAAUUUUUUUAAUUUAA